GUGCCAGCCGCCGCGGUAAUACGGGGGGUGCAAGCGUUACUCGGAAUCACUGGGCGUAAAGAGCAUGUAGGCGGAUUAAUAAGUUUGAAGUGAAAUCCUAUAGCUUAACUAUAGAACUGCUUUGAAAACUGUUAAUCUAGAAUGUGGGAGAGGUAGAUGGAAUUUCUGGUGUAGGGGUAAAAUCCGUAGAGAUCAGAAGGAAUACCGAUUGCGAAGGCGAUCUACUGGAACAUUAUUGACGCUGAGAUGCGAAAGCGUGGGGAGCAAACAGGAUUAGAUACCCUGGUAGUCCACGCCCUAAACGAUGUACACUAGUUGUUGUGAGACUUGAUCUUGCAGUAAUGCAGUUAACACAUUAAGUGUACCGCCUGGGGAGUACGGUCGCAAGAUUAAAACUCAAAGGAAUAGACGGGGACCCGCACAAGCGGUGGAGCAUGUGGUUUAAUUCGACGAUACACGAAGAACCUUACCUGGACUUGACAUAGUAAGAACUUUCUAGAGAUAGAUUGGUGUCUGCUUGCAGAAACUUAUAUACAGGUGCUGCACGGCUGUCGUCAGCUCGUGUCGUGAGAUGUUGGGUUAAGUCCCGCAACGAGCGCAACCCUCGUGUUUAGUUGCUAACAGUUCGGCUGAGAACUCUAAACAGACUGCCUACGCAAGUAGGAGGAAGGUGGGGACGACGUCAAGUCAUCAUGGCCCUUACGUCCAGGGCUACACACGUGCUACAAUGGGAUAUACAAAGAGCCGCAAUACGGUGACGUGGAGCAAAUCUUAUAAAAUAUCUCCCAGUUCGGAUUGUAGUCUGCAACUCGACUACAUGAAGUUGGAAU
rnacentral:rRNA from 1 species